GCGCGCGUGGCGGAAUGGCAGACGCGCUGGCUUCAGGUGCCAGUCCCGGUUAACGGGGUGGAGGUUCAACUCCUCUCGCGCGCA
rnacentral:tRNA from 1 species